rnacentral:lncRNA from 1 species
AACUGAAAUAUAUUAUCAUGUACCACAUAAAUGGAACUGGAAAGUGGAGCCAUGCAUUGACAAAUUUUCAGACGUUGACUUUCUUGGAGAUAAUUCUACCGACUCAGAUGAAUCCAUACAAUAUUGGAGAGAAUUAUGAAACUUAAAGGUAACACAAUUUUGCUGAGCAAGAAUCCAAUUUUAAUAACACGGCGGGCCUCAACAUAUUUAAAUUGCAAAGACACACAUAACUAGUUUGGACAUUGGUAUCUUUUCUGAAGGGAAAGUGCAUCUAGUUGGAUGCGUUAAAAAGGUUGUCAAACCCAUUCCCAUUUGCAACGAGGAAAAACAAACUUAUUUGAAAAAAGAGUAUGCAAUUACCAAAAAGCUUCAGUGGCUGUUAUUAAAAUUCUUCAACUAUCGACAAUGGACAUGAUUGAUGAAGACUUUUAAACUAGGUAUAUUCUGAUAGGUACCUAUUUCCUUUAAUUUGUGUACUUAUUUUACCUAUGUUUCCCCCCACCACCCAUCAGAAAGUAAUUAGUU